GGGUGAUUAGCUCAGCGGGAGAGCACCUCCCUUACAAGGAGGGGGUCGGCGGUUCGAUCCCGUCAUCACCCACCA
rnacentral:tRNA from 2 species